CACAUCAUAACAUCAUGUGGGGCACUGGGAGUUUAACUGUUAAUGCUCAAGUUCUGGUGACCUGCCUGGAAGAGAAGAGCAACUACAUUCCCCAGGGGACUUUGUGGUCACAGAGAGGAGAUAGAACUCCUAGCAAGGUCACUUGAUGGACUCUUCUUCAUCCACUCUUCUUAAUCGUCUCUCCUCCCGUCUCCCUGCUGCUCAACUGAACUGCGCAUCUCACAUCAAUGCUAUGGCAAAAUAUGACUUCUGAGGAGCACUUUCCCAUUCAUUUUCCAUGAAGUGUUUCCCCAGUCCCAAUGCUAAGCUCCAAGAAAGACCAGAUCACAGGGUGAAAUCCAUUAAAACUGGCAGAAGAGCUAACUCCAUAUCUACAGUCAACAAAGCCAAACAGAAAUAUGAAGCAGAGAAAAAAGGAGAGAAUGUAUGCAGCUGCGUGGCAUCGAGUCCAGCUCAGAACUUGCCUGCCCAUCAGGUGGUGUAGACACAGUGUGGCACUGCUGCUUCUCUUGCCAUUGCUCAACACAGACGUGAUAUUUAACAUGAAAGCAAACUAUCCAGGCUACUUAUCCUUUCCAUUAGAACACCUGAGCAUGGAUCCAGUUGGAGUCUGGAAAUGAAUUAGGUGCACCUUAGGCAUCAUACUGCCAGGCACUGCCUGCCUGUCCUGCUCUUAUAACCUGAUGAAAUUGGCAUUACAGUGGCUGGUGACUUGGCCACAGAAUCACAGAAAGCCAAGGAUUGGAAGGGACCUCAAAAGACCAUCUAAUCCAAUUCUCCUGCUGGAGCAGAUCACAUAUUUUGUGUCUGAAAACAUGUAGAGCUUAGUCUUCCAGGAAUAAGCAUUGUUGAUAUCAGUCCCUUCGCUUAUCUUCGUUCAUUAAAAUGUUGCAAUACAAUUAUUCUUCAGGCAACAAAACACCCCUGGCAGCAUAUUUUGCUAGUUAGUUGACCUAUCAAUUAAAGUCCACAGCCUUAAAUAAUCUUGCUUUUUUCAUGUAAAAUGAUCAGUGAAUUCAGAAUUCUGCUGCGUAAUCCAUCAAGGCAUUACAGGUUGUGUCCUAGAGUAUAGCUCUGGAUCUGUCCUUCAUCCAAGUUCCUCAAAUAAAUGAGUUCAUAAAAUGGCUUGGAUUGAGCGGGAUCCCAAGGAUCAUCGGGUUCCAACCCCUUACUUUAGACUGGUAGAAUUGCAUUAAACAUACAUAGCUUCUUGAUUAGGACUGUGAUCUUGUGUUAAAAGUUCUUGAUACUUAAUACUGGAGUCAGCAUAGCCCACAGCUUUGCGGUUAUUUGCAGUGCAGGUUUUUGGAGAAGCAAUUGUAUGUCUUGAGUCGUCAGCACGGGUUAGGCCCCAGACAUAUUAUUUACUGUAAUGGGUUAUCAAACUUUAUGGUUACUUUGGAACGUGUGUUUUUAAUGCUUCCUGGUAAAAAGUGUAAUUUGAAACUUUAUUUUUGAACUACUAAAACACAGUGACCAUCGAAUUGCCUGGACUCGUAUGUUGUUAAUGAGAACUCUCUAAUUCUUAACCAAAAACUAUUGCAACUGGUUUUUAGUACUCAGGAGUUAGUCUGACCAGUUCAUUCCAGUUAGGAGAAUUCAGUGUUGGAGAGAAAUGUCUUUCAUGUAAUCCUGUUUACUUGUAGAGAUGUUCGUUCCAAGCACCUUUGAGCAUAGGAGGAUCAAAUGACAGGAGAUUGUUUUCAGCUGGUACUCAAACCCAACAGCACUGUCUGGGCUUCUCUCAGUGCCACAUCCCACACUUGCCCAGUGUGCAUCUGGAUUUUCUUUCUAAAAAUCUGCUCAUUUGUGGUGUUUCUGCUGUCCUCUUUGUCACACCCACACACCAGUCAAACAAGUCUUCUUUUGCAUAAUUCAAAUUCCUCACUGGUCUUUCAUAUUUCUGCUUCAGCCUGUGACAAGAUGCGUGUUAGA